rnacentral:rRNA from 1 species
AUACGGAGGGUGCAAGCGUUACUCGGAAUCACUGGGCGUAAAGCGCGCGCAGGCGGCCCGAUAAGUUGGAAGUGAAAUCCUAUGGCUUAACCAUAGAACUGCUCCCAAAACUGUCGGGUUAGAGUCUGGGAGGGGAAGAUGGAAUUAGUUGUGUAGGGGUAAAAUCCGUAGAGAUAACUAGGAAUACCAAAAGCGAAGGCGAUCUUCUGGAACAGUACUGACGCUGAGGCGCGAAAGCGUGGGGAGCAAACAGGAUUAGAAACCCCAGUAGUCC